UACGUAGGGUGCGAGCGUUGUCCGGAAUUAUUGGGCUUAAAGGGUGCGUAGGCGGCGCUUUAAGUCGGGUGUGAAAUCCUUCGGCUCAACCGAAGAAUUGCGCCCGAUACUGGAGUGCUAGAGGGAGACAGGGGUGAGCGGAACUGAUGGUGGAGCGGUGAAAUGCGUUGAUAUCAUCAGGAACACCGGUGGCGAAAGCGGCUCACUGGGUCUCUUCUGACGCUGAGGCACGAAAGCCAGGGUAGCGAACGGG
rnacentral:rRNA from 1 species